rnacentral:rRNA from 1 species
AUUGAACGCUGGCGGCAGGACUAACACAUGCAAGUCGAACGAGUGGCGGACGGGUGAGUAAUGUAUGGGCAACUGCCCGAUGGAGGGGGAUAACUACUGGGAACGGUAGCUAAUACCGCAUACCAUCGGAUGUGCCAAGCUGGGAUUAGCUAGUAGGUGGGGUAACGGCUCACCUAGGCGACGAUCCCUAGCUGGUCUGAGGUGAUGACCAGCCACACUGGAGUUGUGACAACGUCCGUAUUCCUACGGGAGGCAGCAGUGGGGAAGAUUGCACAAUGGGCUCAAUCCUGAUGCAGCCAUGCCGCGUGUAUGAAGAAGGCCUUCGGGUUUUAAAGUACUUUCAGCGAGUCGGCGUUACUCGCAGAAGAAUCCCCGGCUAACUCCGUGCCAGCAGCCGCGGUAAUAC